GUGGGGAAUAUUGGGCAAUGGGGGAAACCCUGACCCAGCAACGCCGCGUGAAGGAAGAAGGUUUUCGGAUCGUAAACUUCUAUCCUUGGUGAAGAUAAUGACGGUAGCCAAGAAGGAAGCCCCGGCUAACUACGUGCCAGCAGCCGCGGUAAUACGUAGGGGGCAAGCGUUGUCCGGAAUGAUUGGGCGUAAAGGGCGCGUAGGCGGUCUGGUAAGUCUGGAGUGAAAGUCCUGCUUUUAAGGUGGGAAUUGCUUUGGAUACUGUCGGGCUUGAGUGCAGGGGAGGUAAGCGGAAUUCCCGGUGUAGCGGUGAAAUGCGUAGAGAUCGGGAGGAACACCAGUGGCGAAGGCGGCUUACUGGACUGUAACUGACGCUGAGGCGCGAAAGUGUGGGGAGCAAACAGGAUUAGAAACCCUAGUAGUCC
rnacentral:rRNA from 1 species